rnacentral:lncRNA from 1 species
AUGGCAUAUGGAGGUUCCCCAGCUAGGGGUCAAAUUAGAGCUAGAUUUGCCAGCCUACACCAUAGCCACAGCAAUGCAGGAUCUGAGCCACGCCCAUGACUACACCACAGCUCAUGGCAAAGCCAGAUCCUUAACCCACUGAGCGAGGCCAGGGGAUGAACCCACAGCCUCAUGGUUCCUAGUGAGAUUCUUUUCCACUGCACCACAACAGGAACUCCUGUCAGUUAUAAUUUUAGGGACUGCCUUAUCAGUUUGUUUGUUCAUAUCUACACACUUGAGAAAAUAGAAUUGGAUUGGAAAAAAAAAUGAAAUCUUUGUUGUAAUUAUCUGUGUCUUAAGAUUUUCCUUUUAAGAGCAGUUUCAGGUUCACAACAAAAUGAAAGGGAAAGUACAGAGAUUUUCUAUACAUUCCCUGCCCAUACCUGCAUAGGCUUCCUCAUUAUCAACAUCCCAUACCAGAGUGAUAAAUAUGUGACAACUGAUGAAAUGACACAUAUACAUCAUAAUCACUCAAAGUCCAUGUUUGCACUAUAGGUCAUUCUUGGUGUUGUAUAUUCUGUGGGUUUGGACAAAUGUAUGUGAGAGAUAACAUCAUUAUAAUAUCACACAGAGAAUUUUCACUGUUCUAAAAAUCCCCUAUGUUCUGCUUAUUCAUUCCUCCCCACUGCCCAGUCCCCAAGAACCAUUAAUCUACUUACUGUCUCCAUACUUUAGCCUUUUCCAGAAUGUCAUAUAGUUGGAAUCAUACAGCAUGUUGCUUAUUCAGAUUGCCUUUUUUUUCCACUUACUAGUAUGCAUUUAGGGUUCCCCCAUGCCUUUCCAUGGCUUCGUGGCUCAUUUCUUUUUAACACUGUAUAAUAUGCAAUUGUCUGUUGAUGUGUCACAGUUUGUUUAUCCAUUCACCUACCGAAGGACAUCUUGGUUGCUUUCAAGUUUUGGCAGUGAUGGAUAAAACUGCUAUAAACAUCCAUGUGCAGGUUUUUGUGCUCCCCCAUCCUUACCCAGCAGAGUCUAUACAGGAUAUACACUGUAAAAGAGCUCUUUAGGGAUAACAUUCCUUGAAGACUGAGCCAUUUAGAGAUAGGUUAUUUCUAGCAAGCUUCAGAGACAUCCCUCCACCUUAACCUAAUCCUAUUAGGAAAUUCUUAAAGAUCGAGUCAGUGUUUUUAUCAUAAUUCACUUUAAGCACAGCAGUAGCACAAGGUGGGUGAAUUUUCAUGUAAAGGGAUAUUAAAAACUGACAGUCUGCAUACAUUGCAUUUAUAGUACUAAGUCUUAGGGCCAAAAAUUUCACUCUUAUAUUCAUGGAUUUAGACAGAUACAGGAAGCCAUGUGGCAGAUAUGUUUUUGUCAACCUGUUAAAAUCACACAGAGCAGCCAGUUUGUGCCUAAUAAGGUCACAGAGCCUUUAAAUGACAAAGGAAGACCUAGAGCUGACAUCUCUUUAUUCAGUUUACUGUGGUAUCCACUAGGUACACAUUGUGUGAUACUGAAAUACAUACCUGUGGAGGAAAUACAUCCAUCAACUGGAUGGUGCUUAGAAAUAUAAAUUAUCUAAUGUGCAGGGGAAAAUAACCGUGAUGGUACAUUUCUGAAUUUUGUAUCCAUCUUAACAGAACCUGAGUAUCAUACCUCCAGACUUACUCAAAUGCUAAAGAAAUCUCUCAAUUAUUAACAAAUUCUAUGUUUAGGAUAGGUGAUAACAGAUUAGGAUUUAAAGGGCAAAUAGCCCUGCAUGUUAAUACAUGCCCUGUAUAGGGCCCAGAUGUGUAAUAUAAUCCCCAUGAAAUCUUAAUCUUUUCCUAAAGUGCUUUCACACAUUUGGUUGUCAUUAUUUUAAAACUGAAGACCAUCUAGCACGGGAGCCUGACAAGAAUAUUAAAUACAUCAUUUAUCUGGAAAGAAGCACUGGGAAUAAUAUUACUGUAUCUUCUACAAUGAGAAUUAUAAAGAUGAUCUCUGAUUGGGUGGAAAGGUUCCAGCUGUGCCGUGAUUUGAUUUAACUGCCCAGACACUGACCUGCUUAAUGAUUUACUUUUAAGCCUAGCUUAAAUUUGAAAAGAAUUGAAUUUCAGGACACUGUAUUUCACCUUAAAUAUGGACACAUUAUUAUAAGGAGGAAAAUAAGUUCUUUGCGAUGAAGGCAUUUAUUAAAUCACACUGUGUCCUUUUUGCAUUAACUCCUUCCUUGACCUGGAGAACUCUUAAGUACCCUUGACAACUGUUGAAAUUUAAUUUGAAAUAUUGAGAUAGUAUAAGGAAUGAUGAUCCUAAUUCCAGCUUUCUUUCCUCCUGAACCAGCAAAAAAUAUAUCAGAUUGAGAACUUAAAAUCAUAUAAACAAGUCUUUCUUGAAUCCCAUAGAUACUCAGCUAGCGUAAUUUACUCAGGCUUAUCAUCAUCUCUUUCUAUUUCUCAAUGGUUCUUUCAGUAUUGUCUAUUUAACAUAGUCACUUGCAUGAAUUUCUAGGUUCCUUAUGGUAUAUUUCAUUUAUGCAUCUUGCCAAUGGUCCCAUUUAAUGGACAUUAAGACUCUGAGAGAGGAAGAAGUUUUGGCUGAAAUAAGUGCACUUAUAAAGAUCUGGAAAAAGUUACUGAUAUAUUACCUUCUGCAUUCCUCACAUUCCUACCUUAUAACUUACUGUCAGAGAUAGGGAAGGCUGGGGACUAAUAAGGAUAGACGAGAAAAUAAAAUAAUGAGAACAAGAGGAUUUAACACAAGAAGGCUGUUCUCCAGACUGUAAACAUAGUCCUAGGUGGCAGUUUCAAGUGUGACUAUUCUCUAAGGACUAUUUAUGUUUAGAGAUAAAUAAGUCACCAGGAUAGAGGGGGAUGAGAGAAGACAUGAGUUCAAAAUUCCCUUUAUAAUUCCUUGAAGAAGAAUGGAGAACAAUAUUAUUUUAGAAAAUUAUUAUAAAUAUUUACAGGAACAUCACGAAACUUUGCUACUGUCUUGUUGGCAUUGAUUGUGCCUGUUGCAGUCACACAGCUUACCUUUAUCCUCUGGAGAAAAAUUUUUUAUUACAUAUUAAGUGAAGUUCCCUUUUAUGGCCUGUUUACAGAAUACUUAUACCUUUGACAUGGCUAUUGUAGGGGAACUGUCAUUAUAGGAAGUUUUAGGAAAAUAAGGGACAGGAUAUCAGAACACCUGAGGGAUAUCAUGCCUGGUAUGAGGUGUGCUAUUUUGGAGAGAACUCCAGCCCUUUGUAAAUGAAGGGAAAUUAAAUAAUUAUGAUUUUACACAAAAUGACUUGACAGUAUGCUUUUCUUAUGUCCAACGAACAUAGCGCUAUACAAGCUUUGGAAAACCGCUUAUUUUAAAAUGUUUAAUGUCAACACCUUGUUCAGAAUUAUGACCCUUAAUUAAAAUUUUUUCCUAUGAGACUCCAAGAGUGGUCUUCAAACAUGGUGAUGACUCAGAAUAAACAAAAAUAUGUGCUACAUUGCAAUUUAAUAAACACACAGUCAUACAAUGCAUGUGUACAGACAAAUAAGCAUCUGAAAAAUAAUAUUUCUACUUAUGAUGCACUCUUAUUUUUUUCAUUAUAGUCUAUUCCAUUUUUUAAAAAUUCCAUUUGUAAUCCACUUAACUUACUUAGAAAGUAAGUGAAAUAGAGCAUUUAUAUUGUGCAACCAAGGGAGAAAUUGUUAGUAACACAGCCUGUAUAACCCUAUGUAAGCUCUCGAUGCACUGAACGUUUUCAGCAUAUUUUCCAACUGAUCAAUUAAUUCAAACCUUGGCUUAACUGGUGAUACUCAUUACUGCAUUUCAUUUCUCCCAGAGUUUUGGUUUUUAAGGCUCUUUCCAGCUCAAACAUAUUGUAAUUCUAAGGAAAGGGUAACCAAAUCUGGAGGCUUAGAAGACACCAUUGACUCCCAGGACAGGAAGACAGGAGGCAGUGCUCUAAAGUGCUUAUUUUCCUCUUGUAGCUUUCUGGUUUGGAGGGUCCAUACUUCCUGGUAGUGGAACAUUAGAGCCGCAAAAGUGGGUGAUAGAAAAGAAGCUAUAAGCCCUCUACCAGAACCUCGCCCUUUGCUGUGCAGAUAUGCUUUGGACUUUGGGACUCUAUGAAUAGACUUUAAAUAUAUAUCUCCAAACAUCUUGAUUUUUAGUUCUUCUUUUCUGUUACACUAGAUAUGUUGGCUGCUGGUUAACAUUUUGAUGGUACUAAAAAUGAUUUUAUAAUUGUCAUUGGUUUCUUCUACAUUAGAGACAAAUGUAUGCUUAUCACUGAAGUUAUCACCACUUUGACAAAAGUCUUUAAAAUGUUACCUGUAUUCUCAUUCUCAUAGAUUAAUUGGAAAUAAAAGGUGAUAAUGCCAGCUGAUAGGAUAUCUUUAUUAGCAUUAAUAUAAAGCAGAGAGCUAAACAAAUCAUUUCUAUUUAAAAAAAAUUAGAUAAUCUGUACCUUAUAGAACCCAGACCUUCGAGGCAUUUAUGACUCUCAAAAAUCUGCUCCUGACUUUUCUCUUCACAACUUCUGUGAGUACAGAAAAACUGUCUGUAGAAUUUCAGGAGAAUAAUGAUUUUGGUCUGAUUAAGUGCCGACUGAAUAUAAGACUAUUACAGUCCUUGGAAAUGCCCUAUUGAAAGAUAAAGACAAAACUUUUGAGUUUAUAUUAUAGAAGGAAAUAAGAAAAGUUGUAGACCAACAGAUAAGAAAAGUUAUGUUCAUAUAUAAUAUUCUUUGUUAACAUAUAAAUGUCUCAAAUAUUGACAGAAAAGUUAAAUUGUAUGUGAAAACCUAAUUCAACAGUGCUUAAAUAGAAUCAUGGAAUUACAAAUAAUUUUAAUUUAAUUCUCUGGUAGCCUGCAUUUUUAAAUUUCUUAUAGUGAACAUAUAAUAUUUUACUUAAUUAUAAAAAUAAAUACAUAUGUAUAGAUAUAUACAUAAUAUGUAUGUGUUCAUUGUAUUUAUGCCUGCUUCUGGCUCUUCUGUUAGGUAGGGUAGCUUUCUAAAAUCUAGGAUUCGUUUUUUUUUAAUUCUUAUGUAAUUUACUUCUCCGAAGUCUAACACAGUUUCUUUAUUUGAUUAAUUAAGCAAAUUAUUUGGGAAAAUGUUUAACAUAGUUUCAGCUUGGAAGGACUUUACAACCAAGGAUGAAAGAGAUUUGUUAGCGACUGGAGAGAUUUACACAAUAAGGGUUGUAAUUGGUGUGAGGACAAGGGGACAUAGAUGCGACCUGCAGAGUAACUGUAAAUAAAGAGGGCUCACAUGAAAUCACCACAAAUAGCCUCAAGUCUCCUUAGUUUUGAGACAAUACAUUUGCAUCCCUAAAUCAUAUCACAUCUUAUGACAGAAGUGAAUAGAGGUAAGGAGAUAGAACCUUUAAAAUCAGGGUAGUCUUGAAAACUGUUUACCAGUUUGGCCCAUGGCUAGGCUGCACCUAAAUUACUUCUUGGCAUUGGUCUUUAUAAUUUCCUAGUCAGUAUAUGCUCUCCUGAGAGCAUCCCGUUUCUGGUGAAAAGCACCUUAAGGCUUACCAGCUUGCCCACACCAUCCUGAGCAGGUUUGUGCUGCUGUUGUCUUAGAAGUCUCUAGGCCUUGCCAUUGGCAAAAGCUGAAAUUACUAUGGCAGAAAUGGAAGACUCCAGCUUCUCUCAUGGCUGUAAGCUCUGUUUGAGGACUAAAGCUUCAGAAUGAGAUCCUUUCUUAUCUGGCAGUCUGAUGAGGAAAUGAGCUGGGCCACUGUAAUUAGGAUUCAGAUUUACUGCCUGUUUCUGAGAGAGGUUCAAUGAGAUUGUAACAUCUCUAGCCAGUCAUGCCAUAUUGCUCAACCUCACAGCACAGCUUAUUAGCCGUCCAUCUGCUUUAACGUGUGGCUUUCUAUCUCAUCAAGCAGUUCGAGGGUACAUUUCAUGCAUUAGAACUCAAUGAAAAAGAACUACGUAUCUGUUGUAAUGUAACCCCAUUGUUAUUUACAGUUCAUUAGAAACGACGAGUCAGAGUAUUCUAGUCUUUAUGCAUAGAGUAAGAUAUCAUUUUUAAGACUGGCAUAUUAUUUUCCUUCACUUGAUGAAUGUUUACUGUCAUGGCUCAAUAAGAGAUGAGCUACAGUCUGCUAGUUUUGGCAGUGUCUGCUUAGUGGGAAUGUUUAGCUUGUCCUCCCGAAUUACAACUCCAUUUAUUUUAUCCAGUUUCAUUAAUCUUCCAAGUACCUUCAUGGCCAAUGAUAUGGCUACUGCUAGUGCUGAGUGGAGAAUUAAUUAUAAGUAGACUGGAGCAAUACAUCUAUGGGAGCCAGACCCCCAAAUGAUUUGGAUGUCAUUUUAAUUAACACUGAACAGACUUCUAAUAGACUGCAGAGUUCUUUGCAAAAGGACAGUCCCUAGAGAAGGGAACCAAGGAGGGGGAGGGGAUGGAAGUGGAAUCAAUAGGACUCUGGGAAAAGAGUUUGGAGAUAUAAAUUUAAACUAUAGAAACAUCCUGGUAGACUGUAUCAAACACUAGGGAUGUUUCUCCAGUUUUG